GACGAACGCUGGCGGCGUGCCUAAUACAUGCAAGUAGAACGCUGAAGGAGGAGCUUGCUUCUCCGGACGAGUUGCGAACGGGUGAGUAACGCGUAGGUAACCUGCCUGGUAGCGGGGGAUAACUAUUGGAAACGAUAGCUAAUACCGCAUAACAGUAGAUAUUGCAUGAUAUCUGCUUGAAAGGUGCAAUUGCAUCACUACCAGAUGGACCUGCGUUGUAUUAGCUAGUUGGUGAGGUAACGGCUCACCAAGGCGACGAUACAUAGCCGACCUGAGAGGGUGAUCGGCCACACUGGGACUGAGACACGGCCCAGACUCCUACGGGAGGCAGCAGUAGGGAAUCUUCGGCAAUGGACGGAAGUCUGACCGAGCAACGCCGCGUGAGUGAAGAAGGUUUUCGGAUCGUAAAGCUCUGUUGUAAGAGAAGAACGAGUGUGAGAGUGGAAAGUUCACACUGUGACGGUAUCUUACCAGAAAGGGACGGCUAACUACGUG
rnacentral:rRNA from 1 species